UACGGUGUGUGAGAAGCCAUGGUGUAAAGCACAUAGCGAGAGGAGGCUACUGUAUCAAUACCUAGAGAUAAUGGACGUGACUCGCAGAAUAAGCGCCAGGCUAACUCUGUGCCAGCAGCCGCGGUAAUACAGAGGGUGCAAGCGUUAAUCGGAUUUACUGGGCGUAAAGCGCGCGUAGGCGGCUAAUUAAGUCAAAUGUGAAAUCCCCGAGCUUAACUUGGGAAUUGCAUUCGAUACUGGUUAGCUAGAGUGUGGGAGAGGAUGGUAGAAUUCCAGGUGUAGCGGUGAAAUGCGUAGAGAUCUGGAGGAAUACCGAUGGCGAAGGCAGCCAUCUGGCCUAACACUGACGCUGAGGUGCGAAAGCAUGGGGAGCAAACAGGAUUAGAUACCCUGGUAGUCCAUGCCGUAAACGAUGUCUACUAGCCGUUGGGGCCUUUGAGGCUUUAGUGGCGCAGCUAACGCGAUAAGUAGACCGCCUGGGGAGUACGGUCGCAAGACUAAAACUCAAAUGAAUUGACGGGGGCCCGCACAAGCGGUGGAGCAUGUGGUUUAAUUCGAUGCAACGCGAAGAACCUUACCUGGCCUUGACAUAGUAAGAACUUUCCAGAGAUGGAUUGGUGCCUUCGGGAACUUACAUACAGGUGCUGCAUGGCUGUCGUCAGCUCGUGUCGUGAGAUGU
rnacentral:rRNA from 1 species